rnacentral:rRNA from 1 species
AUGGCUCAGGAUGAACGCUAGCUACAGGCUUAACACAUGCAAGUCGAGGGGCAGCAUUGGGAUAGCUUGCUAUUCAGAUGGCGACCGGCGCACGGGUGAGUAACGCGUAUCCAACCUUCCUGCCAGUAGGGAACAGCCCGGCGAAAGUCGGAUUAAUGCCCUAUGUUCUUCAAUGCGGACAUCUAAGUUGAAGGAAAGAUUCAUCGCUGGCAGAUGGGGAUGCGUCCGAUUAGCUUGCCGGCGGGGUAACGGCCCACCGGGGCGACGAUCGGUAGGGGUUCUGAGAGGAAGGUCCCCCACACUGGUACUGAGACACGGACCAGACUCCUACGGGAGGCAGCAGUGAGGAAUAUUGGUCAAUGGGCGUAAGCCUGAACCAGCCAAGUAGCGUGCCAGGAUGACGGCCCUACGGGUUGUAAACUGCUUUUAUGCGGGGAUAAAGUGCGGCACGUGUGCCGCUUUGCAGGUACCGCAUGAAUAAGGACCGGCUAAUUCCGUGCCAGCCGCCGC